GCCAUCAAGCUCCAACGGAGGAGUCACGCACGGACGUUUCAGUUUUGCAGUUUCUUGCAUUUCCUCCUUCGUGAUUACAGGCGAUUUAAGCCACCAUUUAACGCACCGUUUCUUCCUACUUAAGCCUCAGAUUCUCCUCUCUAAUUCCCUCCAAACGGCACACGAAGAGAGCCACCAGGCUGCUCGAAUUUAACCUCUCAAGUCUGCGGUACCGACGAGUUCCGAAGACGAUUCCGUCUCCGGCGAGCGAAUUUCGGCGAACUACUGCACCUCGACGUCCGCUACUUCAUCAUCGAGUUGGCCUUGCCAAGCUGAGCUUCGUCGUCUGGUACACCAUCGCCAAGAAGCACGAGAACAUGAACGCCAGCGACCACAUCCGACACGGCCAUCAUCGUCUUCGUGAGCACCGUCGCUGAUAGUACGGAGAGUUACGUGUAUUGCUGAGAUAAAGAGAAUGCUCUACAAUUUACCAAAAAGAUAUUUGAUAGACGAGUGAGUUACGAUGAUUAGGGUUACGAGUCUAUCCUCAACAUGCUCGCCUGUGGCACAUGAAGACGAAGGACUCCAUGCUAUAUGUUUAUUCGUUGUAAAACUCUGAUAUAAUGCUAGCCUUGUGCUAUGCAAUUUGUAAGUCAUUAUGUGUAUAUGGAUCAUGCGAUGUAAUAAAGACCUCCGUUUCUUGGUAUUA